rnacentral:lncRNA from 1 species
GUGAACCAUCCCAAAGGAUCUUGAGGGAAAGACCCCAAACAGGCUUUCCAGGGCAGGGCCAGCCAGGGUAGAGAAGAGGGCCAAGCUUUUGGGGCUUCAGACUCCAUGGACACAGGGCAUUGAACUUGGGAGUUUGAAGCGGAUUCCUGUCUCGGUUUCCCGCGUAUCAGCAGUUGGAAUCGUGAACAAAUGACAGCGACUUCCUGAACUGCUUCUGGAAUAAAACCUGUCUGCCUGUAUCAUAGGCAGAAAAGGAUGAGGUCAGCUAUUUGAAAUCCCUUUGUAAAGUGUGACGUGCUCCAAGCAAGGAAGUGGGUAUGGAUCCUCCUUCUCAUUCCUCUCUGGAAUCUCCUUGGGAGAGCCCAGAUCACAGGGGUCAGGAGUCCCCUUAAUUUGUCCCCAAGCCAGGCCGGGAGCAGAAUCUCCUCAGCAUCCACUUCAGAUGCUUUUCUGGCUGAGCAGUGCUCUGCCAUCAUCCUGCAUUUAUCCUCAGGAUGGUAGAGAGAAGUGGAACAGACCACCAGCCCCUUAACUGUCCGGAGGAAUCUGCAUCCUGAGGUCCCCAGGCCAGUGCUCUUUCCACAAUACACACCAUCCGGAAAAGGGUGUUCCUCUCCGGGCCCCUGCCCCGCACCCUCACUGCAUCCUCCUGGACUGAGAACAACUCUGGAGGUAGAAGUUGGCAGUUUAGCUCGCCUUGGAAGGACCCAGAAAACUGAAGUGUCACUGGAGUUCUCAUUGGCUGAGCAUCCAGGACCAGGUGGGAGAAAGCGUCGACUCUGGGGGAGGUAAGAAGAGAUGAGGCAUCACUUCCAUUUGCAUUGAGAACACAUGCAAGGUUGGCUUGAGCACCACCCCUGAGUAGAAGCUGGUGUCUACUGUCUUAGGCCACAACGGCUCAUUCCAGACCCCCAGUUUCAACCAUUUACCAGACUUCCCCAUCCCAAACAGUGAAGUGAGAUCAACUUCUGAUAUUGCCCUAUGGGAAACACACAUGUGUUUCAACAGCCUUUCUGUAGAACUUCUUUGGUGGCCGCAAAGCUUUCGCAUGCACAUUGGAGGGAGCAUGGAGUGGCUUUAGUUCCUUGUUGGUUCCAGCUGAGAAAGAACCCCUGAGCUGGAAACUGGGGUCAGUGGAGUUCAAAAGCAAACUCCUGGUAUCCUCGCACUUUUCGGAUUCCUGGCCACUCACCCAAAUGAACCUCACUCAGAGAAUUUGAAAAUGCCCUGAGGAAAUAGUUAUCCGUGAAAUCAUUUUGUGUGGAGGAUCAGGAAGAGUGAAUGUCUUGGCACCAUGUCACAAGUUUCCUUUUUGUGCAUGUGUGACAAACGCGGAGCACUUUUAUCCAUGCUAGACUCCAUAACAAGCUCGUGACAUGCAUUGUAUCUUUCAGUCUCAACUUGUCUCUCUGAA